UUGUUUUGGCGGUGACUGUUUUUGCAGAGCUCGGGAUGGAUCCCAGGGCCUGCCUUGCAUAUCCUAAGCACGCGCUCUACUACUGAGUUACGUGUCUGCCUCAAACACCCAUUAAGGACCGGUAAAGGGUUAGUUGCAAUGCAGCUCGAAAAGAAAAUUGCCUGCCGAGAAAGGAGUAAAGGGGCCUGCCCAAGUCGUGGCUUUGUGUUGCCAUUAAAUGAACAGGUAUUAGGGGGUGCAUGCGGUGUGUGUGUUGUAUGCGUGCCCAUGUGAAUAUGCUGCUAAAUACUCAGAGCCUCACACAUACCAAUGUGACUUCAGAGGAGCAGGAGUCCUGGAAGCAUCUACUGUCUCAACCUUUCCCACUAAGUACAAGGGGCAAGUGGUCUGUCCUUGCAGCUGUGACACCUGCUUGCUCCUGUCUGAAGAUCCUUGCCUUUUUCCUAUAUCUGACCUGAGAAAUCCUGGCUCAGACCAUCUCUCUGGGGUCAGGGUCCAGGACUGUAUUUACAGCAAGGACUCCAGUCAAAGUGCAGAUUAACCUAAGCAUCUGGAAGCUCUUUUCUCUGGUUUUCUUGCACAGAAAUUGUUACAGGAAUGCGUUUCUAAAGAGAAAGAUCAUAGAUGUACAAAUGAAGGCCUUCUGGUAUGAUGCAGGAACAUUGUGGAGUCAGCUUUGCUACAGCAGCUGCAGACCAAAGGAUCACCCUAUCCUAGAGCAAAUGCACUUCCAAGGUCAAACUGUGUGCAUGCAUAUGUGCAUGUGUAUGUGUGUGUGA